rnacentral:rRNA from 1 species
AGAGUUUGAUCCUGGCUCAGGAUGAACGCUGGCGGCGUGCUUAACACAUGCAAGUCGAGCGAAGCACCUUGACGGAUUUCUUCGGAUUGAAGCCUUGGUGACUGAGCGGCGGACGGGUGAGUAACGCGUGGGUAACCUGCCUCAUACAGGGGGAUAACAGUUGGAAACGGCUGCUAAUACCGCAUAAGCGCACAGUACCGCAUGGUACGGUGUGAAAAACUCCGGUGGUAUGAGAUGGACCCGCGUCUGAUUAGGUAGUUGGUGGGGUAACGGCCUACCAAGCCGACGAUCAGUAGCCGACCUGAGAGGGUGACCGGCCACAUUGGGACUGAGACACGGCCCAAACUCCUACGGGACGCAGCAG